UUAAAGGAACAGGAGGUCCGGAAUGCCUCCACAGCUCUUUGACUAUUGUGGCAAUUGUGUGCUAAAUGCAAAACAAAAGUCACAAAUCAGAUUUGA